AAACCAACAGGGAUUGCCUCAGUAGCGGCGAGUGAAGCGGCAAAAGCUCAAAUUUGAAAUCUGGCGUCUUUGGCGUCCGAGUUGUAAUUUGAAGAAGGUAUCUUUGGGCCCGGCUCUUGUCUAUGUUCCUUGGAACAGGACGUCACAGAGGGUGAGAAUCCCGUGCGAUGAGAUGACCCGGGUCUGUGUAAAGUUCCUUCGACGAGUCGAGUUGUUUGGGAAUGCAGCUCUAAGUGGGUGGUAAAUUCCAUCUAAAGCUAAAUAUUGGCGAGAGACCGAUAGCGAACAAGUACAGUGAUGGAAAGAUGAAAAGAACUUUGAAAAGAGAGUGAAAAAGUACGUGAAAUUGUUGAAAGGGAAGGGCUUGAGAUCAGACUUGGUAUUUUGCAUGCUGCUCUCUCGGGGGCGGCCGCUGCGGUUUACCGGGCCAGCAUCGGUUUGGAGCGGCAGGAUAAUGGCGGAGGAAUGUGGCACGGCUUCUGCUGUGUGUUAUAGCCUCUGACGAUACUGCCAGCCUAGACCGAGGACUGCGGUUUUUACCUAGGAUGUUGGCAUAAUGAUCUUAAGUCGCCCGUCUU
rnacentral:rRNA from 1 species